rnacentral:rRNA from 1 species
UGGGGAAUAUUGGACAAUGGGCGCAAGCCUGAUCCAGCCAUGCCGCGUGAGUGAUGAAGGCCCUAGGGUUGUAAAGCUCUUUCGCACGCGACGAUAAUGACGGUAGCGUGAGAAGAAGCCCCGGCUAACUUCGUGCCAGCAGCCGCGGUAAUACGAAGGGGGCUAGCGUUGUUCGGAAUCACUGGGCGUAAAGGGCGCGUAGGCGGCCUUGUAAGUCGGGGGUGAAAGCCUGUGGCUCAACCACAGAAUUGCCUUCGAUACUGCGAGGCUUGAGACCGGAAGAGGUAAGUGGAACUGCGAGUGUAGAGGUGAAAUUCGUAGAUAUUCGCAAGAACACCAGUGGCGAAGGCGGCUUACUGGUCCGGUUCUGACGCUGAGGCGCGAAAGCGUGGGGAGCAAACAGG